CCACGCCGCCCCGGAGGCGGUCGCCGCUAUGGCACGCCUACUGGGUGGACGACGCCGGCGAGGUGGAGGAAAUCAAGGCGUCGCAGCCGUGAGGCGAGCGCGGCGGCAUGUGCAUUAUUUAGUAGUAAGUAGCGGGCGUUCGUUGGCUGUGCAAGCUGUGCAUAAACUACAUGUCAUCAUCUCUGUAAGUAAACAUAUCAUCCGGAUGAUUUUCUCGUGUUAAUCAAGCACCAAAUCAAAUGAAAGGACUUAUAGUUCAUACUGAUGUGAUAGUAUGAUACCUUAAGCUAAUGGCAAUGGGUACUGCUACUAACAAAACAGGACAUGUGUUCUCAUGCCAAAAUGGACAGGUUUGUCACAGUUUUGAACAGCCUACAUAGCACUUAUCAAUUUGAAUCAUUCAAAUUUUUAUAGGCUCA
rnacentral:lncRNA from 1 species